UUCAAUUCACUUCUACUUCACUUCAACUUACCCUCAAAACCCUAGCUUUUUUCUCUCUCUUCCCUUUCUUUCUCCUGUAUUCUCUACUUGCCUCUUUUCCCCUCAAAACCUUAGAUCGUCGCCGCCCCCUUUCUUUAUCUUAUCUACGGCCAUCACCACCUCUAACGAAGAAAUCAAAGCUAUUUUCUUACUCAUCUCGUCAUGCUCUAUUUAGAGAACCAAACAUCCUUAAGAUCGGAGAAACAUUAUUGAAAAACCCUUUCUAGUCUCCAUCUCCGCCCAUUCAAAUAUGAAAGACCUUCUCCUUUUCACCAUGGGUUAGCACAACAAUGGCAGGAGUGCCAUUUGAAUUUGAGUUGAGAAAGUCAAAUAGUUUUGAAGCAAAAGAAUCCCAGAGAGCUGCUUCGAUGACAUUACUGUGAUAUUUUGCUCAUUGUUUUUGGUUUCUCAUUUUGCUGAAUUACUGAAAAGAACUUUCACUUAUUAUAUCAUGAUCCCACAUUGUUACAAAAUUAAAUAUUGUGAUUGAUUUACCUUAGUUGUGCAGGUGAUAAAUUUGUACCUUGAGUUGCUGAAAGAGAGGGAGCGGAGAGAACCAAAGAAGUUUCUGAAAUGUCAUUUUUCAACACCUUUUUCUACAAAAAUGUAGGAUACCUCUUCCCAUAAUUAUUUAGUUUAGUGUUGGCUUAGAAGAUGAAUUAUACCUUCAGUUGACUACUAUUGUUAAACAGGAA